rnacentral:rRNA from 1 species
GACGAACGCUGGCGGCGUGCUUAACACAUGCAAGUCGAACGGAAAGGCCCCUUUGGGGGUACUCGAGUGGCGAACGGGGGAGUAACACGUGAGUAACCUGCCCUUGACUUCGGGAUAACUUCAGGAAACUGGGGCUAAUACCGGAUAGGAAUCCUUGCUGCAUGGUGGGGGUUGGAAAGCUUCGGCGGUUUUGGAUGGACUCGCGGCUUAUCAGCUUGUUGGUGGGGUAGUGGCUUACCAAGGCUUUGACGGGUAGCUGGCCUGAGAGGGCGACCGGCCACAUUGGGACUGAGAUGAGGCACAGACUCCUAAGGGAGGAAGCAGUGGGGAAUAUUGCACAAGGGGCGGAAGCCGGAUGCAGCAACGCCGCGUGCGGGAUGACGGCCUUCGGGUUGUAAACCGCUUUCAGCAGGAGCGAAGCUUGUGGUGACGGUACCUGAAGAAGAAGCACCGGCUAACUACGUG